rnacentral:rRNA from 1 species
GGGUGAGGAGAGUAUCCUAAGGCCAGCGAGAGAACUGUUGUUAAGGAACUCGGCAAAAUGACCCCGUAACUUAGGGAUAAGGGGUGCCACCAUCAGGUGGCCGCAGAGAAUAGGCCCAAGCGACUGUUUACCAAAAACAUAGGUUUCUGCUAAGUCGCAAGACGAUGUAUAGGAGCUGACGCCUGCCCGGUGCUGGAAGGUUAAGGGGAUCUGUUAGAGCAAUCGAAGCAGUGAACUUAAGCCCCAGUAAACGGCGGCCGUAACUAUAACGGUCCUAAGGUAGCGAAAUUCCUUGUCGGGUAAGUUCCGACCCGCACGAAAGGCGUAACGAUUUGGGCACUGUCUCAACAACAGACUCGGUGAAAUUGUAAUUCCGGUGAAGAUGCCGGAUACCUGCGACAGGACGGAAAGACCCCAUGGAGCUUUACUGUAGCUUGACAUUGGGUCUUGGUACUACAUGUACAGGAUAGGUGGGAGGCUUUGAAACCAGGACGCCAGUUUUGGCGGAGCCAUCCUUGGGAUACCACCCUUGUAGUACUGGGACUCUAACCAUAGGCCAUGAAUCUGGUCUUGGGACACUGUCAGGUGGGCAGUUUGACUGGGGCGGUCGCCUCCCAAAAGGUAACGGAGGCGCUCAAAGG